AAUAAGUACUAAUAAAGAAAAAGUCAAACCCACCAAUUAUAUCUAAGUCAAGCAAUGGAAUAAAUCGAGAUACAGGGUAUAAUACUAGAAAUUAUACGAAGAAUAAUUAAGUGCAAGUCAAGAUACAGGGUAUAAUACUAGAAAUUAUACGAAGAAUAAAAUAACAAAGGUUAGAAGUAAUCGGAUUACGCUUGUAGACCAAAUCCGCUUUUCAUGCGUGGAAUGUUGGGUCCCAGCAAACUGAUGCCAAAACUGGUCGCCGGGAUAAUUGGCCGGAGCUUCGCCGGAGUGCCUCCGGAAUCCAAAGUUGCGGAAACCAGAUCUGGUCGGAACCAGAAGUACCGUCUGAUGGAUCCGCCGGAUCGGUCGCUUGUGACCGGAGCUGCGCGCUGCCUGUGUCGCCGGGGUCAAGCCGACGGUGAUCUCUACCGCCGGCGAAAGUUCGAACGACGGAGGGGGACAGGAAAUGGAAGAGAGAAGAGGGUAGAGAGAAGGGGGGCGUGGGGUUAUCCUUGCCUGUUACCGGCGCUCCGACGCCGUCGCCAGCAUCAGCCGGUCAAGGGGCAGUGGUCGUGGGUUUAGUGAACGUUAGAGAGAGAGUUAAUAAAUGUGUGCUCUCUCAAAAAACUUACUUUUAGAUGGAAGUCACAUAGUUAAACACACUUAGAUGGAAGUCACAUAGUUAAACACACUAUAGUGCAGAUAGUUACUAACUUUUUCCUGGCUGAUUCAGAGCUGAAAUAUUAGGACUGUCACAGAAAUCUGAACACAAGUAGUGAUAGUAUUGGAAGCAAAUGAUAAACUUCUAUUGAUUUCAUAAAUUGGAUAAGUACAUUGAAAUAACUACUUUUAGUAGGACGGACAGAACGAAACGGAGGGAGUAUAAUUUUUCACGAAUGGUGUUGAACUGGCCACUCUUUGCUCUUCAAAAAUAGCCUCUCUGCCAGCACAAGGUAGGGGUUAGGCUGCGUACGCACCACCCUCCCCAUACCCCGCUUGUGGGAUUACUCUGGGUUCAUUGUUGUUGAUAGGAGGAAAGCUCAAAGCUUUAUUAUUGGUUAUAUGUAGUUGUUGUUCUGACUAGUCCUGAAAAAGAGAGUGAAAUGAUGUUCUCCCUUUACUUGUAGGUAACUUGAAUUGAAUAAUGCAGGUCUACACUACCAUCACUGUUGAUGAACCUGCACCAGGGCUCAAGACAAUUGUCAGCUUUGUCAUACCAAAUCAGAAAUCUGGAAAGGUAGAGCUCCAGUACUUGCAUGAGUAUGCCGGUAUCAACACUAGCAUUGGACUCACAGGCAAUUUCACAAAAUGAAAUACUGGUCUGAGUUUUUGUACUGCUGAUCUGAUUGCUUCAUUAGCAUUGAAUGACGAGGGUGAUACCGUCAGUGCUUCCUACUGCCACACGGUGAAGCCAGUGACAAAUACAGCUGUUGAUGCAGGCAGAGUUAGGAGAACACAUUGACCAUUGGAAUCACAGCAUUUGGUGAAGGCUCGCGUUAACAGCUAUGGUAAGGCAAGUGCUCUCAUCACAAUAUCUGGUGAAGUGGAAAGAGGGCCAAGAUUGGGUUGGCUGUAGCCCUCAAGCCAUGAGUGUGUUAGUACCUUACAGAAAAGUGAGUGAAGCGGUGUCUGUUUUGUAUGAUGGAGAGUAAUAAAUUAGAUAGAUUUCCUUCUGCGCCCGGGAGAAUAAUCUUCAGCUGGUAAUGCAAACUCAUGAUUUUUUGCGUUCGUGUUUUAAACCUUUUACCCGAGCUUCAUCAUUCACGUAAUUGAUUAAUUGAAUAUUCUGCCAUUACGUUGUUGGAAGAGAGCUGCCUGCCUUUCUUUUCUUAAUUCCUGUCGGUAAAGAGUUCUACCUGAACGACUUUCUUGAUUGCUUCUACGUACCUGUAAACUGUAUAAACACUUCUUUUGGUUGGCAGUACAAUUCAUGUUAAUGUUUUUUGUUUUACUGAA